UACGAGGGGGGCAAGCGUUGUUCGGAAUUACUGGGCGUAAAGCGUGCGCAGGCGGUUAUGUAAGACAGGUGUGAAAUCCCCGGGCUUAACCUGGGAACUGCAUUUGUGACUGCAUAGCUAGAGUACGGUAGAGGGGGAUGGAAUUCCGCGUGUAGCAGUGAAAUGCGUAGAUAUCAGGAGGAACACCGGCGGCGAAGGCGGCCCUCUGGAUCGUUGCUGACGCUGAGACGCGAAAGCGUGGGGAGCAAACAGG
rnacentral:rRNA from 1 species